UACGGGGGGGGCAAGCGUUGUUCGGAAUUACUGGGCGUAAAGGGCUCGUAGGUGGCCAACUAAGUCUGACGUGAAAUCCCUCAGCUUAACUGGGGAACUGCGUCUGAUACUGGAUGGCUUGAGUUUGGGAGAGGGAUGCGGAAUUCCAGGUGUAGCGGUGAAAUGCGUAGAUAUCUGGAGGAACACCGGUGGCGAAGGCGGCAUCCUGGACCAACACUGACACUGAGGAGCGAAAGCCAGGGGAGCAAACGGG
rnacentral:rRNA from 1 species